GUCUUUUUGUUUAUAAUUUAAAGUCUAACCUGCCCACUGAAUUUUUAAAGGCCGCGGUAUUUUGACCGUGCGAAGGUAGCAUAAUAAUUAGUUUUUUAAUUGAAAGCUGGAAUGAAUGGUUGAACGAGGAAAUGACUGUCUCUAUAUUAUUUUAAUAGAAUUUUAUUUUUAAGUUAAAAAGCUUAAAUGAUUUUAAAAGACGAGAAGACCCUAUAGAUUUUUACAGGAUUUUUUUUUAAAGGCUUUUAGGAUAUUUUUGUUUUAAUUAAAGGUUUUGUUUUAUUGGGGUGAUGGAAAAAUUAGAUUAACUUUUUUUAUAUAAUAACAUUAAUUUAUGAUUUAAUGAUCCAUGUUUUAUGAUUAUAAGAUUAAAUUACCUUAGGGAUAACAGCGUAAUUUUUUCUAAGAGUUCUUAUCGAAGAAGAAGAUUGCGACCUCGAUGUUGGAUUAAAAUUAAUAUCUGGUGUAGAAGCUAGGUAAUUAGGUCUGUUCGACCUUUAAAAUUUU
rnacentral:rRNA from 1 species